GGGAGGAUGGCCGAGUGGUUAUGGCGUGUGGUACGUUGUAAGUACGAAAGUAGCAGGGGUUCGAAUCCCCUUCCUCUCA